AGCACGGCAGUGAGACUGCGGGGGAUAAGCUUCGUAGUCGAGAGGGAAACAGCCCAGAUCAUCAGCUAAGGCCCCUAAGCGUGCGCUAAGUGGGAAAGGAUGUGGAGUCGCGGUGACAACCAGGAGGUUGGCUUAGAAGCAGCCAUCCUUGAAAGAGUGCGUAAUAGCUCACUGGUCAAGUGGUUCUGCGCCGACAAUGUAGCGGGGCUCAAGCGUACCGCCGAAGCUGUGGCAGCAACACGUGGUGCUGGCGCCUUUUAUUGGUUGUUGGUGUGUUGUUGGGUAGGGGAGCGUCCUGCAUGAGGUGAAGCCCGGGGGUAACCUCUGGUGGAUUGUGUGGGAGUGAGAAUGCAGGCAUGAGUAGCGAAUCUGCGGUGAGAAUCCGCAGCGCCGAUUGACUAAGGGUUCCAGGGCUAGGUUUAUCCGCCCUGGGUUAGUCGGGUCCUAAGGCGAGGCCGACAGGCGUAGUCGAUGGACAACCAGUUGAUAUUCUGGUACCGCGUUAUGACCGCCCAUGCUGAAGUCAUUGUGCUAACCAAUUUGCUCACGCCACCAUGAUUCCUUCGGGUUUUGUGGUGUGUGUGGGUCUUGGGGCCCCGGUGAUUGUAGGCAAGCGUGUUAACAGGGGUGACGCAGACAGGUAGCUGCAGUGCGCCGAUGGUUGUGCGUAUUUAAGGUUGUGGCCCGCCUCCCAGGCAAAUCCGAGAGGCAUUGUGGGUGAGAACUGAUGAGGGACACACGCGUGUGUGGACUUGUGGUGAUCCUAAGCUGCCGAGAAAAGCCUCGACGUGAGGGCAUAACGCGCCCGUACCCUAAACCGACUCAGGUGGUCAGGUAGAGUAUACCGAGGCGUUCGAGUGAAUCGUGGUUAAGGAACUCGGCAAAAUUCCUCCGUAACUUCGGGAUAAGGAGGACCCCGUAACUUGGGCCCGCCUCGCGUGGGUGUUGGGUUGUGGGGUCGCAGAGAAUAGGGAGAAGCGACUGUUUAUCAAAAACACAGGUGCGUGCGAAGCCGUAAGGCGAUGUAUACGCACUGACGCCUGCCCGGUGCUGGAAGGUUAAGAGGAACCGUCAGCCCUUUUUUGGGUGAAGCGGUGAAUUUAAGCCCCAGUAAACGGCGGUGGUAACUAUAACCAUCCUAAGGUAGCGAAAUUCCUUGUCGGGUAAGUUCCGACCUGCACGAAUGGCGUAACGACUUCUCUACUGUCUCAACCAUGAACUCGGCGAAAUUGCAUUACGAGUAAAGAUGCUCGUUACGCGCAGAAGGACGGAAAGACCCCGGGACCUUUACUAUACCUUGGUAUUGGCAUUCGGUGUGGAUUGUGUAGCAUAGGCGGGAGGCCGAGAGGCGCGGUCGCCAG
rnacentral:rRNA from 1 species